UUUUAUUUUUGGAUCGACAAGGCCCGAUCCAUAAUCACUUCCUAUUGUGUGGGAUAAUGCGAUUUAGUGGAGUCAAAUUCCGAUGGAAAAAACAGAGUCAGAUGAACGUAACCACUUGACUAAAGGCACAUCCCCGAUUGUACUUGAAAUUUAUAUAUGUAAUUUUAAAAUUA
rnacentral:sRNA from 1 species